GCAUUAAUGGGGUAGUGGUAACCUGGGUCGUUGCCAUUUAAAGUUAAUUUCGACCCGCCGGGGGUUCGAUUCCCUCUUAAUGCA